UGGAGGGAAAGAAGUACUCUUAAAAGCGGUGGCAAUGGCUCUACCAACUUAUACAAUGGCAUGCUUCCUUCUGCCCAAAACAGUAUGUAAGCAAAUAAUCUCUGUUCUAGCUGAUUUCUGGUGGAGAAAUAAACAAGAGGCGAAAGGUAUGCAUUGGAAAGCGUGGGAUCAUUUGAGUUGUUAUAAAGCGGAAGGAGGCAUUGGAUUUAAAGAUAUAGAGGCUUUUAAUUUAGCCUUGCUUGGAAAGCAAAUGUGGCGGAUGCUUUCUCGACCAGAAUCGUUAAUGGCAAAGGUAUUCAAGAGUAGGUACUUUCAUAAAUCUGACCCUUUGAAUGCACCAUUAGGAUCAAGGCCAUCUUUUGUUUGGAAAAGCAUUCAUGCAUCUCAAGAAAUUCUAAGGCAGGGUGCCAGAGCUGUUGUCGGGAAUGGAGAGGAUAUUAUCAUUUGGAGGCAUAAAUGGCUAGAUUCCAAACCAGCAAGUGCAGCCUUACGAAUGCAGAGAGUUCCCCCUCAAGAAUAUGCUUCGGUAUCCUCUAUCUUAAAGGUGUCAGAUUUAAUAGAUGAGAGUGGUAGAGAGUGGAGGAAAGACGUGAUUGAGAUGUUAUUCCCGGAGGUGGAACGCAAAUUAAUAGGGGAACUUCGGCCAGGGGGAAGAAGAAUUUUGGAUAGUUACACUUGGGACUACACAAGCUCUGGAGACUACACGGUGAAAUCUGGAUAUUGGGUGUUAACUCAAAUCAUCAAUAAGAGGAGUAGUCCACAAGAAGUAUCUGAACCGAGUCUAAACCCCAUUUACCAAAAAAUUUGGAAGAGCCAAACAAGCCCGAAGAUACAACACUUUCUGUGGAAAUGCUUAAGUAAUUCCCUCCCUGUGGCUGGUGCCUUAGCGUAUCGACAUCUAUCUAAGGAGUCAGCCUGCAUAAGAUGUCCAUCAUGUAAAGAAACGGUGAAUCACUUGUUAUUUAAGUGUACUUUUGCUAGAUUAACGUGGGCUAUCUCUUCUAUACCAAUUCCACUGGGAGGGGAAUGGGCUGAUUCCAUUUAUGUCAAUCUGUAUUGGGUUUUUAAUCUGGGAAAUGGAAAUCCUCAAUGGGAGAAGGCUUCUCAACUUGUACCUUGGUUACUGUGGCGCCUGUGGAAGAACAGAAAUGAACUAGUCUUUAGAGGAAGAGAGUUUAAUGCUCAAGAGGUAUUGAGAAGAGCAGAAGACGACCUUGAGGAAUGGAGAAUUAGAACAGAGGCUGAAAGCUGUGGCACAAAGCCUCAAGUGAACAGAAGUUCUUGUGGAAGAUGGAGGCCACCGCCACAUCA
rnacentral:sRNA from 1 species